AGGAUGAAUGCUGGCGGCGCGCCUAACACAUGCAAGUCGAGCGGAAAGGCCCUUCGGGGUACUCGAGCGGCGGACGGCUGAGUAACGCGUGGGAACAUGCCCCAAAGUGAGGAAUAACUGCCCGAAAGGGUAGCUAAUGCCGCAUAUGAUCUUCGGAUUAAAGGAUUUAUCCGCUUUGGGAGUGGCCCGCGUACGAUUAGGUAGUUGGUGAGGUAAAGGCUCACCAAGCCCACGAUCGUUAACUGGUCUGAGAGGAUGAUCAGUCAGACUGGAACUGAGACACGGUCCAGACUCCUACGGGAGGCAGCAGUGAGGAAUCUUCCACAAUGGGCGAAAGCCUGAUGGAGCGACGCCGCGUGCAGGAUGAAGGCCUUCGGGUUGUAAACUGCUUUUAUAAGUGAAGAAUAUGACGGUAACUUAUGAAUAAGCACCGGCUAACUACGCGCCAGCAGCCGC
rnacentral:rRNA from 1 species